rnacentral:rRNA from 1 species
GACGAACGCUGGCGGCGUGCUUAACACAUGCAAUUCGAACGAUGAAGCCGGAGCUUGCUCCGGUGGAUUAGUGGCGAACGGGUGAGUAACACGUGAGCAAUCUGCCCUUGACUCUGGGAUAACUGCGGGAAACUGUAGCUAAUACCGGAUACGACACCUUGGGGCAUCCCAGGGUGUGGAAAGAAUUUCGGUCAAGGAUGAGCUCGCGGCCUAUCAGCUAGUUGGUGAGGUAAUGGCUCACCAAGGCGACGACGGGUAGCCGGCCUGAGAGGGUGACCGGCCACACUGGAACUGAGACACGGUCCAGACUCCUACGGGAGGCAGCAGUGGGGAAUAUUGCACAAUGGGCGAAAGCCUGAUGCAGCAACGCCGCGUGAGGGAUGAAGGCCUUCGGGUCGUAAACCUCUUUUAGCAGGGAAGAAGCGAAAGUGACGGUACCUGCAGAAAAAGCACCGGCUAACUACGUGCCAGCAGCCGCCGUAA